CUAGAUUGGCACCCAUGUUAAUUGAAUCUAACCUCACAAUUCAAAAUAAAUUUUCUUGAAGAAAAUGAGCACAAUUCAGGUGAUAAAACAACUAGAGGAACGCAAUGUGGCCAGUGAGAUUGUUUUAAUGGUGUGGAGCGACCGUAUGGAUCUUGUCGCGCUUGCCAACAUUAAAGGAGAAGUGACUCUGCAUCGACUCACCUGGACCAAAGCGUGGAGCCUUAGUGCUCCCAAGGAUGGGUUAAAAGUCAAAAGUAUUGCUUGGAGGCCUGAUGGCAAAAUAAUAGCAAUUGCUUAUAGUUCUGGGCAAAUAAUGUUAGUCAAAGUGGAAAAUAAGUCAGUGUUGCACACAAUUGGUAUCAAAGGUGAAGUUUCAUGUCUCAACUGGUUGCAAGACAGGACUGUUAAAGGAAAAAUACCUUCAGUCACCGAAGAAAGUAAACAAAAUCAAUACAUGAAAUAUAUUGAUUUAUCAAGCAAUUUCUUGCCAGAACCUGUGGUACAACAGUUUGACGCCCCCAACAAUGAAGAGGGCCAAAAAACCAACAUUUUGCAGGAGCAAACUGACUUCAAUUUACUCCUAAUUGGGACAAGUGAGGGCAUCGUCCAUGUCCGAAUUUUUGGUUGUUUUCCUUGCGCAACUCUUGAUUUGAAAAAAAAUCUCAACUGUUUUUGUUCAAUACAAAACAUGCAUUUGAAUGAAGACCUAAAUCGCAUGUGUUUCACAGUCAAGGACGCCGAGCACAACGUUAAAUUAAUUUGUUUCGAUUCGGACAUUUUCAAAACGCACACAAACGAACUUUUCGCUCUAGCCCUCAAACAUAUAAAACUAACAUCGCUUAUCACUUAUCUAUCCAACACUAUCACCACUAUAACCGAGUCUUGGGAGAGCAUUUUACUUGAAAUGGACAAUAAGUUGUCGAAAUAUGCGAGUAAAGUGCCCGAAGGGGGCGUCACAGCUGACUUUUUGGAUUUGUUGACUUUUGGGAUUUGUUCGGAUGAGAUGAAAGCGUUUUUGAUACAUGAUUUGACGAAGAAAGGGCUCGAAAAGUUCGGACAAACGAUUGAGAUGAGCUACUCGAAUAUCCAGAAGUUGAUGUUGAAAUAUGUGAUGAAGUUUGGGCAAAAUAUUACGUAUCAUUUGGCAGAAAUGAGGGGGAUGGCAAGACUGGAGCACCGCUACAAGGUUUUGGGUUUGGGUGAGGACGCCAUUACCGACGCCAUUUCGUCAAACGGCGCCUUCUUGAUCAAAAGCAGCGAAAUGCAGCAAAUUAUCAACCACUCAAUCAUCAACUACAAGGCUUUUUUCCGUUGGUUAUACACCGCAAUUAUGCAUGUUUUGGAUGAGCAAAUACCUAACGAAAUACCGAAAAUGACACAACAAGAUUUAGCUUAUAUUACAGAAUUUUUACAAAAUUUUGAUCGUAUUAGUCGAAAUAGCAAACAAAAGGGCUUCAUAAUGGAGAGAUUGGGACAAUAUUUGAGCGAUAAUAAUUUAACAAUCCAACCGGAUAUGACCGGAAACGAAUGGACUUACUUUACGUCCCAAAACCAAUGCAUUCAAAAAAAUAACUCUAUUUUGAAACACUACGAAGAGAUGUCGCUGAUACAACAGUACAAACAUUUGACAAAAAGUAUUGAUGAUAUUUUCACAACACCUAGAGAGAAAAUCAGUGCAGAAUUUAAUCUCAUACAUGAGUUCAAUUGUUUCCAUUGUGGGGGCGAGUCAUUACGCACGUCACAAAUCAACGUAAACAAAGAAUCGAUCCUUUUUUGUUAUUUACAGCCACCUGAGACAAUUCUCGGCUUGCAGGUGUACUUCGACGAUGGCAAUUGUUUCGUGAAAUGUGCCCGAUUGUACUUCCCCCGUGACAAUUCCGAUGAUAAUUAUCACGUGAUCGAUAUUAAAUUAUAUUCGAGUACAGUGUUGUCGGUUUUAUUGCAAGAAAACACCGUUGCUAAAACUACAGUUUUAAGUCAGAUACCGAUAGGUGGCGUUUUGGAUAAGUUUGUGGAUGGUGGGGAUACGGAUAGUGUAAUUUUCAGUGGUGGGGUUGACGAUGUCCCCCGUUUGAACGGUUCGUGUUUGCUUCCCAAACUGUGUAAAAGUGUGGAGGGGAUGGUGGGGGCGGAGUUUGCAGUGUCGGGGAGUCGACGUGUGGGCAUCGUAUUGGCUGAAAAUCGAAGGAAGGUGCGGUUGUACGAAAUGGAAGGGGAAGAAGAGGAGGAGGAAGAUGCGGAUAUGACCAAUAGUGGUGUACAAGAAUGACGUUUAUAUUCUAAGAACUAAAGUUUCAUAUUCGGGACAGGCGAUUUCCUCACCACCGUAGGGUGCUCCUCGCCGUUGUGAGCGACGUAAGCGGCAUUUUUUCCGGGAAUCACUUUAGCGGGGAUCAAGUCACCAUCAUGGUAGGCUCUACCGACGUAAAUGGGGUGGCCAUCACCGUCCAUACCACCCUGGAGGGCUGUCGGUGGUACUGACCCAUAAGCGAUCGAACUGUCGACCCAACGAAAGGCUAGAAGUGAAUUUUUUAAGAAUUUUGUACCAUACAUGAAAUUUAUAGCAUUAUGUUGGUAGUAGAGACCGGUAAAACCCCCAAACUUGUUCUUACCUUGAUUAUUAGAAGGGCUAGAAUGACUAAAACUGGUGUUUUGAGGUGGAUACCCUGAGGGGUGUAAGGGAGGGUAAAAACUGUUUUGAUUUGGAGGAUAUGAAGGAGGGGUUAAAGGUGCG